AUUAGCUUUAGUUUGCUGUUAGUUAUCAAUGGCUAUCAUUGAUACACUUUCAUCAAUUGGAAUCAACCUUGAAAUAUUAACAGUUAAGGCUACCAGUGCCUAUCAAUGAUAGACUUUUAUAAGUAGUUAUCAACAUUGAAAGAAAACUAACAACUUUGAAAGAUUGAGCUAUACCAGUGAUGGAAAAUUAUUAGUGGUUAUCACUGAUAGACUGUCAUAAAUUAGUAUCAACUUUGAAAGAUUAACACAGUGGCUAUCACUAAUAACCUUCUAUCGUGAUUGUCAUUGAUAGCAGCUAUCAGUUGUUAUCACUCUUUAGAUCUUUUGACGCUAACCCAGUCGCGCGUGCUUCCGUCUUCAGCCCAAUCGCAAGGCAACGUUGCAAUGCUGUGAUUAGUUGUAUAAAAGUCUCUCUUCGAUUUAGCUCAAAAGGGAUGUUGUAUUUUAUGGAGGCCGAGGAGAGGUUUGAGGUUUAUUAACGACGUAAUAUCAAAAUGGCGUCACUGUCGAGGAGUAAGCCAAUUAAUCUCUCUUAGUUGAAUUUGAUUUGUAACUUUAAAACCCCCCAAUUUUUUUUUCUUUUCUUGUGUCUACUUGUUUUUCUCAUGGUAGAUGAUAUGAAUAUCUAUUAUGCGUUUGGUAUGAAGUACAAAGUUCAACGAAGAAAACAAGAGGUAAAUGAAUUUAAUGAGCUUAAAAGUCAAAUAUCUGAACUAACCUCUCUUGUUCAAGUAUUUCUGCCAAUUUAAAGUUGAAUUUAAUGAGCUUAAAAAUCAAAUAUCUGAACUAACCUCUCUUGUUCAAGAAUUUAAUGAGCUUAAAAGUCAAACAUCGAUGCACUCUUCUUCUGCCAAUUUAAGUAUUUCUUUAGAAGAUUUGGUUAGGAAACUUUCUAACAGCUCUGGUGAAUUUGUGCAGGAACCUCCCUUUAGCCAUCAGAAACCAUUGAGUUUCCAGCAGGAGAGCUUCCAUUAUGAGAGUACUAAGUUGAGCUAUGGAAUGACUCACAUCGAUGAUUCCGUUGAGCAGCUGGUUCCUUAAAUUUUCGGUCAAGGUAAGACUUUCAAUUUUAAAAUGUAUGAACUUGUUGAUGGUUCCUUUUAGUGUGCACAGGAAUCCAUUGAGUCUCACCUAGAGAUCCAAGCCCCCAUGCUUACAUUGGAAAGUCAUUUUGAGCCUUCCACUGCCCAUACCACUAAGGCCAAAUUUGUGGAGGAACUUAGGACUUGCAAAGACGAUGUUUAUCCUUUGCCAUGUCCAGGACAAGUUAGUAAGGUUAAGUAUGAGUCUAAGCUUUACUUUGAGGAGUCUCAGAUAAAAGAGUUAGAGGUUUCCGAGCCUUGUUCGGAUCUUUCUCCUGGUAUUUCUUACAUUUUUUAAUAUUGCUCAUCUUUUCCUUGCAAGUCAGAAAGUCAGAGUCUUUAUUUUCUGAAGAGUCAGAUCUUGAGUCUUUUAUUUUAUUUCCUUUGUCGUUUAUAAAAAAAUAAAAAUACAAAAUUCGAUCUAUCUAGUUCUUUUCAAAGAUAGGUCGUGUCGAGCGACAUUAAAAAUUUGCGUAUUUGCGUUUUUUGGAGACAACCAGGUGAAUUUUUUUAUUUUAAAUUUCUUUCUAGUGUUUUAAUUCUAGGUUAGUUAUUUUUAAAAAUUAGUUUUAAAUUUUAGUUUAGGCUUUUAAUUUUUAAAUAUAAUUAGGAAAGGUUUAGUUUUAAAAAAAAAUUUUAAAAAAAGGGCAACAACGUUUGGGCUAAGUUUUCUUCAUCCUUCUCUUUUCGAUUUCUCUCAAUUUCUGCACUCUCCUCCACCGAUUUUUCACCCAAAACUCGAAUUCUUUGUUUUUCUUCCAUAAAUUCCAUCAAACCUUCAAACUUCCUCACUUUUCACCUUGAAUCUGUGGGUUUCCUAUCCAUUCCGAUUUUUAAGGAUUUUUCUCACAUACUUUGGAAUUCUCUUCAACCUAAGGUGGAUUUGGUGUGAUUUUUUAUAUAUUUUGAGUGGGGUUAGGUUGAUUUUGCCAAGUUUGUCGAUUUCCCCUAGGUUUAGAGCCCGAUUUUGUGAGCUUUAAAUUAGUCAUUCGUUAUGGGUCCUAGGAGAGAAAGAGGGAGAAACGUUUCUAGUUCUAGUCAAGGAGGUCGUGAUCCUUAGCCAGAAUUUGAGCACCCUAGGUUCAAUUCUCAAGGGGCUUUUGGAUAGGUUUCAUAGUUUCCUCUAGGAAGCUUGUUCUCGAAAGGGCGUUGUCCUUAAAGCAAGACUUCUAUCCCCAUGUCAGUGCUGAGAUACAGCAGUGAGGUUGGGAAUCCUUGUCGUGGAGAGCGGUUGUUUCUAUUAUAGAAGCACCCGGUGAGCUCGAGGUAAAAUGGGUUCGAUCGAGGAUCUGGCUAGCUCCUUUUCAUUUGGCCAAAGAGAUCCACUAUGUGAAAAAUUGUUACAACCACACAUAAUAUUCUCUCCCUCGAUCCCAAUUACAAUAGCAAUCUCUCAAAGCUUUUGACUACUAUUCUCUAAAGAAAUUUAAUUAGAGUUGACACACUAAGCUUAAAGUUCUAACUAUGAAGACUUGAAACUAGAAACAUAGGCUCCAUUUAUAGGCUUGGAGCUCAUCCCCAUUCCUCAAUUUCUCCGAUGUGGGAUAAACUGCAUUUCUAAUAUUUUGCCAAAAUCCAACACUAAAAGCAAGAUUUUCUAUCCAUCAAAACUUUAAACAAAUAAAAACCAACCUACUACCAACCUACUAAAUUUAAAGUAAAUGAACUUACUUUAUUUAUCUUUUACAAUUUUUACAUACAUGAUUUCAACAAAUUUCAAGUAAAAAUUAACCAAAAAGCUAAAUUUAAACAAAAUAAAUCUAUCCUCCUCUAUUUAGAAGUUUGACAUAACAUAGUUUAACAAAUUUCAAGUAAAAAAAAUCAUAAAUGCUAAAAUUAACCUUUUGGACUUCAAUUUCAAAUAAAAAGAAGUCUUUUUGUAAUAUAUUAACCAUUAAUUAAUCAAAUAAAAAAUCGAUUUACUUUUAUGUUUAAUCUGAAAACAUUUGGUUAUAAUAUUUUACUCCUCUUGGUAGCCCAAAUAGAAACUUUAUUAAACUAAACGAAGAGCCUAAAGGGCAUACAUUACACAAAAUCUGCACUAAGAAGUUAAGCCAAUCAUAAUGGAGGAUAAUCUACCCAAAUAAAAGAUAUAGAAGAAGCAAAGGCUUAGCUUGUAAAGUUGUGGGCCUCUUUAUUGUAAAUCUCCUCCGAAACAAAAUACAGAAAAAGCAAAUGCUUACCAGAAUCGUGCAGCGAUGGAAGUGUAGCAGCCCACCAGUCGUAGGCUCGAUAGCAGCACCAGAUGGCGGAUGGCGUGGUGUCGUGGGUGUUGAUGCGGGUGCAGGGCCAUAUGGCGUGGUGCAAAAAAAAAAAAAAAACAAGAGGGAGAAGAAAAGGGGGAUGGUGUGGUGCAAAGGAGAAAAAUGAGAAAAGAAUAGGGACAAGAAAAGGGGGUUGGGCGGCUGAUGAAAGAAGAAGAGGGAAAAGAUAUGUUUUUAAUUCAGCUCAUCUUGACGCUUGUAAAUGGCAUCAGGCAAACUAGGUUCUCCUGAUGGUAGUUUAAACUUUCGUCAGGAGAUCCCUUAAUUAAAAUUUUUCCAAGUUUUUUUAA